AGAUUCUUCCACCCACUGUCAGGAGAAAGAUUAAAGUGUGACUUUAAAAUUCCGCGCAUUCAUAGCUUUUAUCACCGCAAAAUCCAAGAGCUGAAAUCAAUUUGCAAAUUCGAAAUCCCCCAUAUUUAGUAUCCGAUUUUCGAAGCAUAUAUUUAUCCAAACAUCCAAUCCAAAAUUCUACUCAAUUUCCGAUUCCUCGGCGUCCCUGUCUUUGUCCAUCCACCAAGAACAAUCUCCAUCUCUCUCUCCUUCCACUUUUGUCCCACCUAUCUCAGGUGAAGAAUAUAACCCAAAGUUAUAUCAGAGCCACAAAGGCGUCCAACAUUGUUAGAUAAAAGAGGGAGGGUACUGGUCCGCGGAGGCAGUGGGACUUCUGCGAGCUUUGUGUCCUCUCUCGUACUUGUCAAAGUACAAUAAUUGCUCCUAGAGAUCUUUUGCUUAAUGCACAAGUGGAGCUUGAUUGGUUUCGGCUGAUGAGAGUGGAGAACUGUUGUGGAGGUUUAUUUUUAAGCUGACAUAAUGGGUUCUGUUUGUUGUUGUUUGAAUGCUGAGGAUUUUGAAGACUACGUGAAUCCAAACAGUUCUGCAUAUAGGAACUGUAUCUGUCUUAGUUGCUUUAUUGAGAACUUUGUAAAUGUGUAUACAUCAUUAUUCAGAAGAGGAGAAGUGCAUUCGAUCCCGUCAUCCAUUCAGGGGGCUGCAUCGAUGACUUCCUCAGCAUCACUAGACAACUCUAUAUCUGACAUGUAUCGUUCUCCUCCAAGGCCCUUGCCUUAUGAUGCUGACCCCAGAUACAUCCGCUUGCAACGGGAUGGGUUGAUUUCUAGGCGCGAGAAAGGCUCAAGUCAUUCUCAUGAGGAGGCCGAGCCUCUAAGAAGUGAUACUGAUGCAGAUUCUGACUGUUUGAGUACAGGAGAAAAAUGGAAUGGGUCUGCUUGUGAAGAUGGAGUAAAAGAACAUCGUUCCAAGUCCUCAAUGAAGUUCUCAUCGGCAAAAGCUACAACUGUAGUUGGGAACUUUUAUAUAUCAUCAGAGGACGAGGAUGUCUGUCCAACAUGUCUUGAAGAAUAUACUCCAGAAAACCCCAAAAUAAUGACAAAAUGCUCUCAUCAUUUUCACCUUGGUUGUAUAUAUGAGUGGAUGGAGAGAAGUGAAAGCUGCCCUGUUUGUGGCAAGGUGAUGGUAUUCGAUGAAACGACUUAAUCACGAUUGAAAGGUUUGUGUCGUUGAUGAAGCCAAAAACAGCUGAAGAUAUAGCAUACUAAAGAAGUGAUGCCAUUGUGAAUACCACAUGUCAAAAACUGUCAUUGAUCAUAGUACAUAUAAACUUCAUUUCUGAUGACCAUUGUUGGGGCUAAACGCCCAAACAAAACAAACUACAAACCAAAAGAACGGGGCCUCACAGCACCCCUAGCAUCCUCAGCAAGAAUAAAUUCAAGGAAGUCAGGAACCUCAUCGUAGACAUGGAGACCAGGUUCAAGAGUAUAACUUCUGGUAGCCAAAGCAUCAGCAGCUACAUUUUGUUCACGGUAGAUAUGCUUAACUGCACAAUACCAGGAAUCAUGGAUCUUCAUUUUACAGCAGGAAAUGAUGCUGUAGAGAGGGAUUUAUAGUUAAUUUUUCACUUCCCUCAGAACCCAUCAAACUCUCACACCUCUCAUCUCUUCUUUGCACAUUCACCCCCUUCAUGGUCUCUCUUGAAGAUAUGCUAUGAGCCCAAAUUUUACAACGUUAUAAAUGUCGUAUUAGAAGGGAAAGACUGAACAACAUUGUCCUAAUUAUUUGUCUCAAUAACACAAGGAUUGAGAUA